rnacentral:rRNA from 1 species
GCAUUAUACCGUGAAACUGCGAAUGGCUCAUUAAAUCAGUUAUCGUUUAUUUGAUAGUACCUUACUACUUGGAUAACCGUGGUAAUUCUAGAGCUAAUACAUGCUGAAAACCCCGACUUCGGGAGGGGUGUAUUUAUUAGAUAAAAAACCAACGCCCUUCGGGGCUUCUUGGUGAUUCAUGAUAACUUCACGGAUCGCAUGGCCUUGCGCCGGCGACGGUUCAUUCAAAUUUCUGCCCUAUCAACUUUCGAUGGUAAGGUAUUGGCUUACCAUGGUUUCAACGGGUAACGGGGAAUUAGGGUUCGAUUCCGGAGAGGGAGCCUGAGAAACGGCUACCACAUCCAAGGAAGGCAGCAGGCGCGCAAAUUACCCAAUCCCGACACGGGGAGGUAGUGACAAUAAAUACUGAUACAGGGCUCUUUUGGGUCUUGUAAUUGGAAUGAGUACAAUUUAAACCUCUUAACGAGGAACAAUUGGAGGGCAAGUCUGGUGCCAGCAGCCGCGGUAAUUCCAGCUCCAAUAGCGUAUAUUAAAGUUGUUGCAGUUAAAAAGCUCGUAGUUGAAACUUGGGCCUGGCUGGCAGGUCCGCCUCACCGCGUGUACUUGUCCGGCCGGGCCUUUCCUUCUGGAGAACCUCAUGCCCUUCACUGGGUGUGCUGGGGAACCAAGACUUUUACUUUGAAAAAAUUAGAGUGUUCAAAGCAGGCCUUUGCUCGAAUACGUUAGCAUAGAAUAAUAGAAUAAGACGUGCGGUCCUAUUUUGUUGGUUUCUAAGACCGCCGUA